ACCAGGCCGUGUCGUAAUGGAAUACGAGUGUUCCAUUUUUAAAAAAAAAGCGUCUACCAAGUCCCAGUUCCCAAAUCAAAUAGAACAGGGAUGUUCGUUAUCUAUUGGAGGCAGCGAAGGGAUUAGAACACCUAUCCACUACGCGUUGACCUCAUCCCCAUGCCUAAACUGGGUCUUCUUCCCCAUGAUCACAGCUCCUCUUAAGCUCGAUUGAUCCACCUUCUUGCAUCCAGGAGCCGUCUUUGAGCGCAAGGACCACGGGCCCAGAUUAUUAUGGGAAGUGAUUUUUAGAGUUUGAAACAGAGCAAAUACAAGGUGCGCCUGUUAAUGGCUAAUCCAAAUGAUCUAUGGGAGAAGCGGCUGCAGGAUCCAAGUGCAAAACCAGUGCCUCUGCCAUUUGAAUUUUUGAAAGCCAUUACAUGUGAUUUUUCCAGUGAGCAAGAACUCGGCAGAGGUGGGUAUGGAGUGGUUUACAAGCGCAGGGAGUUCUUCCGAGUGGAAAAAUUAUUGCCGUCAAGAAGCUUUUUCAAACACAUCUGACGGAUGAUACGAAAUUCCAGAAUGAGGCCAGUUCUCUUAUGGGGAUCAAGCACCAAAAUGUAGUGCAGUUUUGUUGGCUACUGUGCCGAAACAAGUUUUGAAUUGGUGGACGUCGAAGGUAGUGGGAAACAUAUUAUGGCUGAAAUACCAAAGAGAUUGCUUUGCUUUGAAUAUGUACGCAUGCAGCGAAAGCCUUCACAAGUACAUCUCAGGUAAAAUCACAAAAAACAACCACUAGCUUAUUUCUUAUUUGCUUUACUCCUUCAUGAAGUUUAGUUGUUAGCCAAAGGACGACAGGUCUUUAUGGCUUCAAAAAUCUGAUUUAUAAAAAAUAGUAGAGGUCUUUAUAGCUUGAGAGGGUCUUCACCUACCCACAACCUCUGCAUCAUAGAUUUUUUUUUAAAAAGGAGGAUGACCCCCGGCCUCUGUAUCUGGAAGAUCCAUGCGGCCACUUUAUUUAUUAUUCUCGAGGACCUUACAAAGUAUUACAACAAUAUGCCUGAAUCCGCUAUCUUGGCAACAUAUGCCAUUACUCUUAUCCAAAUGAUGAAAGCUUGCUAGCUGGGCCACUACCCAGACCACUCAUCUAAGUCUAACAUCAAAAUGAUGAAGGGGUGCUAGCUGGGCCACUACCCAGACCACUAACCUAACCCUAACAUCAAAAGCCGGAAGCCCCAGCCAAGCCACAUACCGGGUCUGGGGUACAAACCGGUUCGACGCACUCGUGUGUCGUCGCUGCCAUCUUCCACAGGUCCGUCUUCAGAGCAAAUAUUGAGGCUUCUACCUUGUCUGACCACUCAGCAUCGACGUCACCACGACACCAGACAGUUUCGUCCUCCUGCGCGAGUCCAUCGCCACACAUCGGACGCCGAAUCUCCACUGCGCCAUGCCGCCAUCAAUGAGUAGGAUGAAGCACCGCUCCGCCGGCUAGGCUAGGGUUACGCCGCCCGAGUCGCCCCUGUGGGAGCGACGCGGGGGCCUCCUCCAAACUUCCUGCAUUACAUGGAUGAGAAAUCACCUCUGCAUCAUAGAUGCACACCCUUUCAUGAGGUGGAGCUAUGUUGUUGUGGUACCAUGUCAUCUUUGACUGGGUUUACAUUUUUUUUCUUUAUCAAUUAAGUAGAUGAAUCUGCGGGCCUCAAUUGGAACAUGAGAUAUCAAAUAAUAAAGGGAGUUUGCAAUGGUUUGCAUUACCUUCA